rnacentral:rRNA from 1 species
GACGAACGCUGGCGGCGUGCUUAACACAUGCAAGUCGAACGGAAAGGCCCUGCUUUUGUGGGGUGCUCGAGUGGCGAACGGGUGAGUAACACGUGAGUAACCUGCCCUUGACUUUGGGAUAACUUCAGGAAACUGGGGCUAAUACCGGAUAGGAGCUCCUGCUGCAUGGUGGGGGUUGGAAAGUUUCGGCGGUUGGGGAUGGACUCGCGGCUUAUCAGCUUGUUGGUGGGGUAGUGGCUUACCAAGGCUUUGACGGGUAGCCGGCCUGAGAGGGUGACCGGCCACAUUGGGACUGCGAGACGGCGCAGACGCGUACGGGAGGCAGCAGGGGGGAAUAUUGCACAAUGGGCGGAAGCCUGAUGCAGCAACGUCGCGUGCGGGAUGACGGCCUUCGGGGUGUAAACCGCUUUCGCCUGUGACGAAGCGUGAGUGACGGUAAUGGGUAAAGAAGCACCGGCUAACUACGUG